AGAGUUUGAUCCUGGCUCAGGACGAACGCUGGCGGCGUGCCUAAUACAUGCAAGUCGAGCGAAUGAAAGAGAAGCUUGCUUCUCUGGAUUUAGCGGCGGACGGGUGAGUAACACGUGGGCAACCUACCUUAUAGAUGGGGAUAACUCCGGGAAACCGGGGCUAAUACCGAAUAACUCCAAGCACCUCCUGGUGCUUGGCUGAAAGACGGUUUCGGCUGUCACUAUAAGAUGGGCCCGCGGCGCAUUAGCUAGUUGGUAAGGUAACGGCUUACCAAGGCAACGAUGCGUAGCCGACCUGAGAGGGUGAUCGGCCACACUGGGACUGAGACACGGCCCAGACUCCUACGGGAGGCAGCAGUAGGGAAUCUUCCACAAUGGACGAAAGUCUGAUGGAGCAACGCCGCGUGAGUGAAGAAGGUUUUCGGAUCGUAAAACUCUGUUGUAAGGGAAGAACAAGUACAGUAGUAACUGGCUGUACCUUGACGGUACCUUAUUAGAAAGCCACGGCUAACUACGUGCCAGCAGCCGCGGUAAUACGUAGGUGGCAAGCGUUGUCCGGAAUUAUUGGGCGUAAAGCGCGCGCAGGCGGUCCUUUAAGUCUGAUGUGAAAGCCCACGGCUCAACCGUGGAAGGUCAUUGGAAACUGGGGGACUUGAGUGCAGAAGAGGUUAGUGGAAUUCCAAGUGUAGCGGUGAAAUGCGUAGAGAUUUGGAGGAACACCAGUGGCGAUUUGCUGGGCCAUCACUGACGCUGAGACACGAAAGCGUGGGGAGCAAAUAGGAUUAGAUACCCUAGUAGUCCACGCCGUAAACGAUGAGUACUAAGUGUCGGGCAACCGGUGCUGAAGUUAACACAUUAAGUACUCCGCCUGAGUAGUACGGUCGCAAGACUGAAACUCAAAGGAAUUGACGGGCACCCGCACAAGCGGUGGAGCAUGCCGUUUAAUUCGAAAGUACGCGAAGAACCUUACCAAGGCUUGACAUCCCCGGCAAAGCUAUAGAAAUAUAGUGGAGGCUACCCGGGUGACAGGUGGUGCAUGGUUGUCGUCAGCUCGUGUCGUGAGAUGUUCGGUUAAGUCCGCUAACGAGCGCAACCCUUGUCAUUAGUUACUAACAUUUAGUUGAGGACUCUAAUGAGACUGCCGGUAAUAAACCGGAGGAAGGUGGGGAUGACGUCAAAUCAUCAUGCCCCUUACGUCUUGGGCAACAGGCGUGCUACAAUGGCUGGUACAACGAGUCGCAAUACCGCGAGGUGGAGCUAAUCUAAAAAGCCAGUCGUAGUUCGGAUUGAAGUCUGCAACUCGACUUCAUGAAGCUGAAAUCGCUAGUAAUCCUGGAUCAGAAUGCCAGGGUGAAUACAUUCUCGGGUGUUGCACUCACCGCCCGUCA
rnacentral:rRNA from 1 species